UCCUCGUCUGGGAUCAUGUAGAGCUCUUUGAAGCUGCACUGAAACUGACAUUUGGACCUUCAACCCGUUGAACCCCAGUGAAGUCCACUAUAUGGAGAAAAAUCCUGGAAUGUUUUCCUCAAAAACCUUAAUUUCUUUUCAACUUAAGAAAGAAAGACAUAAACAUCUUGGAUGACAUGGGGAUUUUCAAUGCAUUCUGUGAAAAUAUACUGUAAAUCUAAAUACAGUACUAAAUGACCGCGAACAACAACCACACACCUCCUCACACAACGGCUCUGUGAUAGACCGAUUGUCGAUGAAACCCCACAUAUGUGUCGCUGGCAGACUGGCGGGGAGGCUUGACGUGAAGAUGUAAGUCCUAGGAGGAGUAUACGUUAAAUUGGUAGGUAUACGUUAAAACACAUGUAUACACUUUUAUUAUUAUUCUAAUGUUAUUUGCUCAAUUUCCAAGUAAAGCUGUGAUAAUUAGUAUUUACCUCCCGGAGCGGUGCUGGCAGCCCACGAAUAUUUUAAAUUGGUAGGUCAAUUUUAAAACACAUGUAAACCUUUCAUGUUGUUAUGCUUUGUACAGAGGGUAUGUUUACACGACAAUGAUGUAUUUAAGUACUAAGAUGAUAAUUGUAUCAUUUUCAAAAAUUUGCACUUUGAAACCCAUUUUCAAAAAUUUGUGUUUUUAGGCCCCCAAAACACUGUUUUCGUGUA